GAUGUUUAAGUCACUAUUUUAGUUUUAUCUUUGUAAGCUAGUGUUAAAUCUUUGUUUUUGCAUAAGUAAUGUGAUCCGUCAGAGAAAAAUAUCAAACCACCUAGGGUAAAUCACUUAUGAAACAUACUUGCUAGGAAAAAUAUCAGUCACUGAAUGAAACUUGAGGAAACUUGCUUAACUUUUUGUACAAUUUUGAAUGAAGGAAAAACAUGGAAAAGAUAUCCUUCACCUAAAAUCAUGGAAAAAUCACAAAAGCUUCUGUCACACUAGUGUAACCUCCUAUAAAAAUAUCAGAGCCAAACUGCUACUGGAACUCAAGUUAAAAAUAGAUCCCUCUAAUCUGCCAUAGGAUACUGUUUUAAUUUUAAUUAAUUUUUUAGAAGCUCAAUGCAUC
rnacentral:lncRNA from 1 species